GCUGCACGUGACGUCACAGCAAAGUGACGCUAAACAUUCAAUAAGUAUUAAUGAGCUUCAGUGCGAACCGAUCACUCCUGGUCUGAACUCCCGCAGUCUGUUAGGUAAAAGAAACACCCUCAUGGAUACAGAAGAUCCUUCUCUUCUAGUUUACACAGAAAUGAAUUCUAUCACCACUCAAGAUUUUCCACCAUAUCAGGAAGCAUCAAUGGCCUAUAAAAAUGAGAUGUAUACAGAAGAUAUCUUUGUUCCAGGCAGCUCCAACGGGUAA